rnacentral:rRNA from 1 species
CAAUGCCAUGUGAAUGAUGAUGGCCAGAAAGGUCGUAAAGUUCUUUUAGAGGGGAAAAAUCUGAUGGUACCCUCUGAAUAAGUGACAGCAAACUAUGUGCCAGCAGCUGCGGUAAUACAUAGGUCGCGAGCGUUAUUCGGAUUUAUUGGGCGUAAAGCAAGCCCAGGCGGAUGAAUAAGUUCCUGCAUUAAAAGCAGCUGCUCAACGGUUGUUUGUGCCGAAUACUAUUCAUCUAGAAUGUGGUAGAAAGUUUUGCAAUUAAAUAUGGAGCGGUGGAAUGCGUAGAUAUAUUUAAGAACACCAGAGGCGAAGGCGAAAACUUACUCCAUUAUUGACGCUUAGGCUUGAAAGUUUGGGUAGCAAAUGGGAUUAGAUACCUCAGUAGUCCACACCGUAAACGAUGGGUAUUAGAUGUCGGGACUUGAGUUUCGGCGUUGUAGCUUACGUGUUAAAUACCCCGCCUGGGUAGUACAUAUGCAAAUAUGAAACUCAAAGGAAUUGACGGGGACCUGAACAAGUGGUGGA